rnacentral:rRNA from 1 species
CCCUACUGCUAUCGGGGUGGGACUAAGACAUGCGAGUCGAGCGUCUCCAGCUAUGGUGAGACGCGGCAGACGGCUCAGUAACACGUGGCUAACCUACCCUCAGGACAGGGACAAACCCGGGAAACUGGGGCUAAUACCCGAUAGGCGAGGGCGCCCGGAAUGGUUCUUCACCCAAAGGGCUUUGGAAGCAUGCUUUUCAAAGUCGCCUGGGGAUGGGGCCGCGUCCGAUCAGGUUGUUGGUGAGGUAACGGCUCACCAAGCCUAUAACCGGUACGGGCCGUGAGAGCGGUAGCCCGGAGAUGGGCACUGAGACAAGGGCCCAGGCCCUACGGGGCGCAGCAGUCGCGAAAACUCCGCAAUGCACGAAAGUGUGACGGGGCUACCCCGAGUGCCGUCCGCUGAGGAUGGCUUUUCCUCGGUGUAACUAGCCGGGGGAAUAAGGAGAGGGCAAGACUGGUGUCAGCCGCCGCGGUAAUACCAGCUCUCCGAGUGGUAGGGAUGAUUAUUGGGCUUAAAGCGUCCGUAGCCGGCUUAGCAAGUCUCCUGUUAAAUUCAGCGACCUAAUCGUUGAGCCGCGGGAGAUACUACUAGGCUAGGAGGCGGGAGAGGCCGACGGUACUUCCGGGGUAGGGGUGAAAUCCUAUAAUCCCGGGCGGACCACCAGUGGCGAAGGCUGUCGGCUAGAACGCGCUCGACGGUGAGGGACGAAAGCUGGGGGAGCGAACCGGAUUAGAUACCCGGGUAGUCCCAGCCGUAAACGAUGCGGGCUAGGUGUUGGGGUGGCUACGUGCCACUUCAGUGCCGCAGGGAAGCCAUUAAGCCCGCCGCCUGGGGAGUACGGCCGCAAGGCUGAAACUUAAAGGAAUUGGCGGGGGAGCACCACAAGGCGUGAAGCUUGCGGUUC